rnacentral:rRNA from 1 species
AUAGGUUUGGUCCCAGCCUUCCUGUUAACUUUCAAUAGACUUAUACAUGCAAGCAUCCACGCCCCGGUGAGUAACGCCCUUCGAAACACACAGGACUAAAAGGAGCAGGUAUCAAGCACACACUCUUGUAGCUCACAACGCCUUGCUUAACCACACCCCCACGGGAGACAGCAGUAACAAAAAUUAAGCCAUAAACGAAAGUUUGACUAAGCCAUAUUGACCAGGGUUGGUAAAUCUCGUGCCAGCCACCGCGGUCAUACGAUUGACCCAAGCUAACAGGAGUACGGCGUAAAGCGUGUUAAAGCAUCAUACUAAAUAGAGUUAAAUUUUAAUUAAACUGUAAAAAGCCAUAAUUAUAACAAAAAUAAAUGACGAAAGUAACCCUACAAUAGCUGAUACACCAUAGCUAAGACCCAAACUGGGAUUAGAUACCCCACUAUGCUUAGCCCUAAACACAAAUAAUUAU